GGGAAGAGCUCAAAUUUGAAAUCUGGUAGCCUUCGGUUGCCCGAGUUGUAAUCUAGAGAAGUGUUUUCCGUGCCGGCCCAUGUACAAGUCCCUUGGAACAGGGCGUCAUAGAGGGUGAGAAUCCCGUCCUUGACAUGGACCCCCGGUGCUUUGUGAUACACUUUCAACGAGUCGAGUUGUUUGGGAAUGCAGCUCAAAAUGGGUGGUGAAUUCCAUCUAAAGCUAAAUAUUGGCGAGAGACCGAUAGCGAACAAGUACCGUGAGGGAAAGAUGAAAAGCACUUUGGAAAGAGAGUUAAACAGUACGUGAAAUUGUUGAAAGGGAAACGAUUGAAGUCAGUCAUGCUCUUAGGAUUCAGCCGUUCUGCGGUGUAUUUCCUUUGAGUGGGGUCAACAUCAGUUUUGAUCGAUGGAUAAAGGCACGAGGAAGGUAGCACUCUCGGGUGAACUUAUAGCCUCGCGUCAUAUACAUUGAUUGGGACUGAGGAACGCAGCAUGCCUUUAUGGCCGGGAUUCGUCCACGUACAUGCUUAGGAUGUUGACAUAAUGGCUUUAAACGACCCGUCUUGAA
rnacentral:rRNA from 1 species